UAAUAAGCGGAGGAAAAGAAACUAACAAGGAUUCCCCCAGUAACGGCGAGUGAAACGGAAGAGCUCAAAUUUGAAAUCGCCGUUGCCUUGCAACGGCGACUUGUAGUUUCGAGAAGCGCUUUCUCGGUGUGCAUCGGACGCGUCCAAGUUGCCUGGAACGGUGCGUCAAGGAGGGUGACAACCCCGUCCACGGCGCGUUCGGCCGCCAACGAUGCGCUUUCCA
rnacentral:rRNA from 1 species